UUCUUGGAGAGUUUGAUCCUGGCUCAGGACGAACGCUGGCGGCGUGCCUAAUACAUGCAAGUCGAGCGAAUCAAAAGGUGCUUGCAC
rnacentral:rRNA from 1 species